UAUAGUGUGUAGUUACACAUAAGGAUGUCUUACAGUUAGAAGGAUCUGUUUAUGGAGUGAGGAAAGUAAUGAACUUUGUGACAAGACGACAAACGACUGAUGAUGGGUUGAAUAAUUCAGCACUUGAUACUCGGUACUCGGCAUUUAUCCCAAAAUCUCGUUAUUCAGGAAAAAUUUCUACAUAUACAUAUGUAUAAAUAAUUGUUCUAAAGAUUACCUUUAUCUCUUUUUUUCAAUAUCAAUUCCUGCGCAAGGCAACCGGAAACAAUUAUCGGCCCUGCAUUAAUGUCAAAGGUCGAUCCUCCGUCCACCGUAUGACGUAAUAAUUAGAACUUGUUUUUUAAAACAUUUAUUUUAUACACGUCGCCUGUUCCAUGUCGCGUAACGAUUUAAGGUUAACGAACACAUCGGGUGGUCUCACAUUCGAUUUUCGAUGUAGAUAAGCUCAUUAUUUACUGAAUAUGAUCAGGAAUAACCGUGAUCCCUUAAUAAAGAGGGAAGAACAGAUAAAGUAAAGGAAAGGCACGAAAAAAGUGUGUGUUUGCGAGAAAAAUUGGCAAUAUGUAUAUAAAAAAAUCACGAAUUCUUCUAGAAGGAUGGUAUCGUUAAAAGCGAUAGGUUCAAAACUCAAACACUUGUUUAUAUUUUUGAAAAGGAAUAUAUAGAAUUAGAAAAGAUCAUUUUAAAGAAAAAAGUACACAUAUUAAAACAAAAUUAAAACGUAACAAUGACGAAAUCGUAGAAUGCAAUUCUGUUAUUGAACAGAACGUUGAACGAUAAAGUGUACUAAAAUAUGGAAAAUGAAUAUAUGUAACAGUUUUAAGAAAUAAAAGUAAAGGUUAGUUAUCAUUGUAUGUACCCAGACGAAGAAACUGAAGAAACAUAUCUGUUGAUGUCCCCUCGAUUUAUCGCUAAAUGCACAUGUAUACAUGUACAUGUAUAUAUACGUAGGUAAUUUAAGAAAAAUUUUUUUUCAUUGCAUCGGACAAUCAUAAUUUAUAUGUAUUUAUAUGUAUGUUUAACGUUGCAAUAAUAUUGUAAAAAAUCUUUUGGUUCCACUAAAUUUCGAUCCUUUCUAUUUUUCUAUUUUUAUCAAAGUAGGAUAAAAUUAAUGAAUAAAGUGAAAAUUAAAUACAGAACACAUAUAUAUUGUAUUCGAUCAAACACGUGAAUAUGUAUACGUGUGCCAAAAAUAAUCAGUAUCGAAGAAUAUUAUUUGUAAAUUAUUCAAAAAAUAUGAAAAACAUCACUUACCAGAAGAAAAAUAUAAUCAGUAGUAGAUUUUAGUCUAAGAUGUGUAAUAGAGUAGAUCGUUGGUUAAGCUGUUAGACAACGCGCAUGAAUACGAUAGAAGAAAAACAGAUCCAACUCUAACUCCGGCUGCUGUCAAGGCGACACUGAACAACCCCCUCGCAGCGUUCUGUUAUGGUUAUGACUUGCGUUAGCUGCCGGGUACUAUGAAAAUCAACUUCCCUUUAAGGAGCGUGCGCAGCAUUAUUUAUUUUCCGAUAAUGCGGUCGAUUGUGCCUGUAUAAUGGAACAUUCAUUUUCUUCCUUUCAUUACGGUUUCAUGCGUGCAAUUUGACAAAUAUAAUAUAAAAAAGUAUAGAAAAAUCAAUUAUUAUUAAUAUUCAAUAAUAUUAUUGUAUAUCACACGCUCUGUAAUCACAAUACAAUUUAUAUAAUAAUAUGUACAUAUGUAUGAUAAAGUGAUGUUGUGAUAAUAUCCCGAUGCUUCCUACAUGAAACAGGUACAAUUUGAAUAUGUUAGUGUUUGAUGAAAAGCAUAUUUCGCCACCUAUGUAUGUGUGUAUGUGAUGCACUAACGUUUCUUUUAAAUCAUUCAAUAAUUUCGAAUAACUAUACUUAAUGCAAGAUCGAGUAUUUUCACAACAUUGAAUUACCAUCUAUCGAUGAUUAAAGUCCUUAUAUAACUCUCUGGUAUUUCUCCAGAUUAAAUUAAUUAACAAUCGCUUGGGACACAUAAUACAAUGAGAUAGAAUUAAUUUUCCAUAACACGAAAUAAACAAUUAUGUGUCAAUAAUAAGUAUAAAAGACAAGUUUACAUCUGCAUCGAUAAUUGCAAAAUCAUACUGAUAAAUUCAAAUCCAUUUUUAGACAAUAAUCAAAGUAAAGAUUAUCAAUACCAGACGUUAAAUAAAUUUUCUAUCUACAAAGGAAUAAUACAUCCUGUUUUACCUACGUUUCAUCAUUUAACUUUAACCUACACGUACCUAUACAUACAUAAAUACAAAAUUCUUACGAAUCGUGUCCCUUGGUCUCUUUUCAUCCCCUUUUUCUUUGUAUACUUUACGUAUACUCUUACACAUUUUAUUAUUAUUAUUAUAUCGUGUUAACUGCUUUUUAUGAAUAUUGUAUUAUAUAUAUGGUUACACAUACUUGUGUCAUCUACUUUGAAAUUUGUAAACGCAUUGCAAAAAAUUCUACAGAUACACAUUAAAGUUACUCUUGAUAGAUUAACAGCAUUGAAUGCUUUCACAAGAGUUUUGCAUAAGUAUGCUGAACAAUGAUAAAUUUGUUAAUGUUAAUGUGUAAUUCAUAAUUUCAGAUUCAUUUAGUUUGCUUAAAAAAUAGAAACAUUAAUCUGUGAUGUAUCUGUGAUGCAAUUAUUAACCGAUCGUAUACAGGUAGAAAAAGAAGGCGAAUAGUUGAUAAUUAUUCGGGUAUGAAACAAGCACAAAAAUAUUGAUAGAAGUAUUUCUUUCUAAUAAUUGAACAGAUGCCUAGCCCUUAAGACGUUUGAUAGAGUAAAUCGUGAAUACAAAAUAAAAAUUGCAACAUAUUAUGAAGGAAUAGACUUGUAUUACAAAUGUAUUAAUCAUUUGGAAUUGGUUCUUUCCCAAAAAAUUGAUUCUUUGUUGGUGGAAUGAUAUGCAAUUAUUAGGAAAAUGUUUAAUUCAUUUUUUAUUGUAUAAAUAUAUUACCACAAAAUAUUACUAGAAAAUCAUUUUUGCAAUUUGUAACAAGAGAAAAUAAAAAGACAGAAACUGAAUGAAAAUUUUAAUAUAAAGAGACGAAAGAUGAGGGAGUAAAAUCAAAGUAAAUAAAAAGUUGUAACUACAUCAUGAAGAAAGUUGUACAGUGUAAACAUGAAAGCGAUUAAUUGUCAGCAAAAUAUUAUUAAUUGGAACAACGAACAAAUAUUACACAGUUUUCCCUAGCAAACCUUUUUCUCUAAGCGUUUCUCGCUUUACAUCAUAAUAUAUAUCAACAUUAACGACGUCGACGACAUCACCAAUGUCAGUGCUAUGUAUAUAGUUGUUACUAUCUCAAGUAUCGCAAAGCUAAGCGACUUUACGCCGCUGUUUAUGUGAUGCAGUAAAAAAUAUAUAUAUAUCUUUUCGACUUUUCUACAGUUUCUUUACAGUUACUGUUUUUCUUUUCUCAGUUACUGUUCCAUCAUCAUUAAAAUAAUGAAGAUUGGCGAAGAUAGUUUGCUAUUGUUAUAUGAAAUUGAAUUAUUAUUUUCUUAUUCAGU
rnacentral:lncRNA from 1 species